rnacentral:rRNA from 1 species
GUAGGUGGCAAGCGUUGUCCGGAAUUAUUGGGCGUAAAGCGCGCGCAGGCGGUUCUUUAAGUCUGAUGUGAAAGCCCACGGCUCAACCGUGGAGGGUCAUUGGAAACUGGAGAACUUGAGUACAGAAGAGGAAAGCGGGAUUCCACGUGUAGCGGUGAAAUGCGUAGAGAUGUGGAGGAACACCAGUGGCGAAGGCGGCUUUCUGGUCUGUAACUGACGCUAAGGCGCGAAAGCGUGAGGAGCAAACAGGGAUUAGAUACCCUGGUAGUCCACGCCGUAAACGAUGAGUGCUAAGUGUUAGGGGGUUUCCGCCCCCUUAGUGCUGCAGCUAACGCAUUAAGCACUCCGCCUGGGGAGUACGGCCGCAAGGCUG